rnacentral:lncRNA from 1 species
UCCCCCACCGGCGAGCAUCCUCAGUGCCCUAUCAGUAAGCCUCUCCUCCUGAAGACCAAGGCCUCGUACCCGAGCACGCUGCUCUAACGAGCUCAUGCAGGACCCGAUGCCUCCUCCUCAAGCAUCCUUGCGCUGACGGAGACCGGCGCCGCCGUCGGAGACCAGGAGCCCCCGACUCGACCUCGAGCUGCCGCACAGACCCGUUCGACGGCCGUAGGCACCCGCGUCUCCUCCUCCCUCUCGUGUCAGGUGCAUGCACGAGCUCGACCACGGGCCCCAGGUCACGCCGGUGCCCUUGGCUCGUCAUCUCCCUCAAGCACGGUCUCUCUCUCACCCGUUCUCUCCCCUCUUCUUACAAGAACCCGUGUAGCCAUGGCCAUGGAGCCCCGCCAUCGGUGGUCUCCUCCUUGUCGGACCUGGACCUGCAGUGACCUCGUGUUCCAUUCUGGGUGGAAUUACUCGCCUUCGUCGCUGCAGAGGUAGAGCCGUCGCGCAUCCAGGCCGCCUCCUCCUCUUGGUCGGGAGGGAGACGACGCCCGCCGUCGGCAUUGACCGUGAGCACCAGCGGCGCGUGGGCCAGCCCCGACAACCAUGCCACUAUGGCCCAGCAGCGUGACCGUGCCGACCCAGUGCCCCACACGGCCCGUCUCUAGCACCCAAGGCGGCCAAGCAAGCCCAUGGUGAGCAGCUUCUCUACCUCCCUGUCGGGCUUGGCCCAAUGCCGUUUUUUGCUAUAAUUCACAUGUGCGCUAGAUAUCUAUUAGAUGCUCGCAUGUACCUGCACAGUAAUUCUAGAUUCGGCCCAUCUUGUUUUUCCUUCUCACGAAUUUAGCAAUUUUGAGUGAUUAACAUAUUUACACAAAACCCCCUAAACAAAUGCAUUUAUUAACUUGAGAACCGUGCAUCGGUUGAAAAAUGCUUAGAACUCUCUGUCGUUUCACAAUAUCCAACUCCCUCAUGUGUUUAAAAUAUAUUAACUUGUUGUUUUCAUGUAAUUUGCAUAGUGUCAUGCUAAAACAAUUUUCAUCAUAACUAAUUAACGUAGCUCCGAUUAAAAUGAUCCACACAUGUAAGUUAACUAGAAAAAUGUGUAGAACAACAUGGCGACAUUUAUUUUGCUGUUUAACAACUCUAAAGUUAUGUAUAGGCAGAACAGUACCGAAAUCUUAUUUGCAUCUAGGGACUUUUUGGAAUUGUUAUUCGUUGUACCGACCUCAUUUAAACUUGCCUAGAAUUUUAUGUAGUUUCAUAAUAACUUGUUGCAUCCAUGAUUUACAUUCUUGUGGCUAAGAGUUGCAUACACUUUGCAUUCAUAGCAUAUUAUCUUGUGAUGGUCAUAUCUUUUAGACCAUAGCUCCGUUUUAAAUGAUAUAUAUAUGUAAACCGACUAGAAUGACGUGUAGAAUCACAUGCUCCACUUUAUUCUACUGUUUAAUAAAUAUAAAACAUGUUGUACGCAGAUCGGGUCCAAUUUCAAAAUUAACAUACGGGGUCAUUUCGGAAAUGUUAUAUGUUGCUUCCGACCUCAUUUAACAUGCCUAGGUAGUGUAGUUUAUUUAAGUUUCACCUCUUGGCAUGUUUAACAACAUUUAAUAUUGUCGUGCACCUAAACCGGAGUAAACUAAGUAAUUCAAAUGUGAAGUUUCGUGUAACGCCCAAGAUGCGGUCCUACCGAUAUUUUGGCGCGAGGGCCUCGACAGGGAUAGAAAUGCAUCUCGUUGUUUCACAAGAAUGGAUAUCGUUAUAACUACAUAUACUGAAAAGAUGAGUAUAAGGAGUUGUCUUACACUCGCCACAAGCUACAUUAGAGUCACAUUAAUACACCAACAUAAUCAAUCAUCAUGAAGAAGAGUAGGGUCCGACUACGGGCGAAAAUAGAUGAUAAAACAACGACGUCCAUCCUUGCUAUUCCUAGGCUGCCAGCCUGGAACCCAUCCUAGAUCGACGAAGAAGAAGAA